rnacentral:rRNA from 1 species
GAUGAACGCUAGCUACAGGCUUAACACAUGCAAGUCGAGGGACCGGCGCACGGGUGAGUAACACGUAUCCAACCUGCCCUUUACUCGGUGAAAGCCUUUUGAAAGAAAGAUUAAUAACCUAUAUAAAGGAUGGGGAUGCGUUGCAUUAGGUUGUGGGGGAGGUAACGGCCCACCCAGCAUUCGUUGGAUAGGGGUUCUGAGAGGAAGGGCCCCGAUAGUGGAACGGAGACACGGUCCAAACUCCUACGGGAGGCAGCAGUGAGGAAUAUUGGUCAAUGGGCGGUUGCCUGAACCUGCCAAGUAGCGUGAAGGAUGAAGGCUUAUGGGUGGUAAACUUCUUUUAUAUAAGAAUAGGUAUUAUAUGAAUAAGGAUCGGCUAACUCCGUGCCAGCAGCCGCGGUAAUAC